ACACGUCUACAUUAGAUACCCCUGUAGUCCCAGCCGUAAACUAUGCGCGUUAGGUGUAUCGGUGACCACGAGUCACCGAGGUGCCGAAGGGAAACCGUGAAACGUGCCGCCUGGGAAGUACGGUCGCAAGGCUGAAACUUAAAGGAAUUGGCGGGGGAGCACCACAACAGGUGGAGCCUGCGGUUUAAUUGGACUCAACGCCGGGAAGCUCACCGGAUAGGACAGCAGAAUGAUUGCCGGGCUGAAGACCCUGCAUGACUAGCUG
rnacentral:rRNA from 1 species